UUAGCAUUCCUGCCUCUGGGGGCUGAGGGCUGCUGGCCCCCAGCAAGAGGGUAAGGCAAGACCCAGCCAGAAACGUCACCUGGCUGCCUUCUCACUGUCCUUUCCUCUCACCUAGCCUGGAAUUUCCACCAUCAAACUCCCUAAUGGAGUAAAGAAGCACACUGGGGGGCUCUAGAAGAGGACCAUGAGCAGAGGGGACCAGGUGAAAAGACGGUGUGUGGACUGAUGUGUGCUGUUAAAAGCAAUGAAUUAGAUCUGCCAGGGGCUUCCAGCCAUGAAAUGCUCUGCUCUCUUCUCUUUUCCUUGCCGUCCCCGGGGCUGGAGGAGCACAGGCCUCCCCAGGCACCGGGCCUCAGCUUUGCUGCACUCCCAUCUCCUUCCAAGGGUUGAGGCCGGGUGGCCAGAAAUGGGAGCUCCCCAGCCUCCCGCUGCCCGGCCAGCUCUGUCUGGACAACCUGCAGGCACCUCACGGUGACGCCCAACCCCACUGUCACAGGCCGACGGGUCCCUUCUCCUCUGCACCCCCAGGACCCCAUCGGUCUGGACUCCUUGGAACAGCCCCUCCUACCCGGGCCCGGCCGCCCACCCUGGGCAGGCCCAAGGCACAUUCCCACACUUCUCAGUUCCCCUUCGUGCUUGGAAAAGCUCCAACGCCAAUGGCUGCCACCAUGCUGCCCAUCCCUCCUGAGGGUGGUUUCUCUGGGCGUCCCGCAUCUUCACAGGAGCCAAGGAAUCUGGGGUGCUACGGUGGAACUUGGGGCACCCGGGGACUUUGGAGGGCAUGUUUCUGGACAGGAGGACCCAGCCACUGCUCUCCUUGGGUUGGUGUGGGGGACAGGCCCUCGUGCGGUGCAGAGGGACACUGGGCCUGAGGCCGCGGCACACCCGGCUUAGGAAGUGGCAGGCUGGAUGGCCUUGCAGCAGGAGACCACUCCGAGGAGAGACAACAGGCCACAUAAGUGACACUCAUUACUAAUAACAGACCAACUCCCUCACAUUGGUGCAGAGGUUUCCAGUUGACAUCAGUCAGAUCUUUCCAUCCCCAGAACGAGCCUAUCCCAAGACCACCAUCAUAAAGUGGAAACCGAGGCUCAGAGGGGAAACCACGUGUACAAGGCCCCAUAGCUAGAGAGCCUCUGGAUGGGAUUCAAGGUUUCUUAACAUCCUAUUCCCUCUUCUCCCUGACUGCCUUUGGUUCCAUCUUGUACCCCAGUCUCCCUACUGGCAGGACUGAAGUCUCCUAGCACUGUGACAAGAGCGAAAGCAGGGCUGGUCUGAUGCUUGAGAGAGAAGCAGGCUUUGGACGGCAUAGUUGUCAGAUGGCCACCCCUGGCCAGGUGUCAGUGCCCAGUGCCCCCGCCUCCCACCAAGUCCCAGCUGAGCAGAAGCCCUGGCCUGAGCCCUGCUCUGCCAUAGCCAGCUGCUGGUUGAGUUUCUCCUAACCUCUCUGAGCCUCAGAGCCCCUUCCUGUGAAAUUGGCUUUUCACAAACACCAAGCACCUACUUGGUGCCAGCUCUAUGCUGGGUGCAAGCUGCCUCUGAAGCUACAACAUGACCCUGGCCACAGUCCUGGGUAGAAGGCAGAUGAGUUACAAAAUUCUGAGAGCUCCCAGAUGGAAAUUGAGGCCUUGGGACACAGAUAGGGAGUGAUGGUGCUCCCAGGGUGCAGAGGGGUAUCACUUGGGAUGGGCCCAAAGGACAGGAAAGAGUUCUCCAGAAAAAGGAUGGGGGACAGACUCUCAUGCUGAGUCACACUCCUGUGCUUUGUAGUUCCCACGGCCUGAGUGCCCUUCCUUCCUCUGGGCCUGGUGAACUCCUACCCAUCCGUCAGGGCCCAUGGGCACACUGGAGAAUGACCAGGCCUGCCCUGGCCUGGUGGCUCCUUACCUCCUUUCUCCCACCCAGAGCCUAAGCAGAGCCUGAGGCCAGGAGUCUUUGGUCACAACACCCUCGCCAGCCCCACCCGGGCAGGCGUCUGCUCCCGGGUUCCAGCCCCCGCCGUCCCCUGCUCCGAAAAGCACCAUUUCCCUUUUCUGGGUGACCACACGCCAUGCACAGGGAAUUUCCAUCGCAGCCUGCGGAGCCUCUGAUUCACUCAGGCCCCUCAUGCAGUUAACUCCUUCCAGGCCCCGCGCCUUUAGCUCCGCACGCUGGGUGGUACCCCACCCCCACCCAGGGCCCCUGGGUGGCCUCAAACUGGCCUUGGGCCACAGCUCGGAAGUCGAAGUUUCUCCCUAGCCCUACGCCUCAGGAUCCUCCUGUCAUAUGCACAGAGACCUCUUCCCAAGGACUCACGGCAUACACACUGGGCAGCCUUGGGCCCAGAGCACAGGCUUUGGGGUAAAACAAGCCUGGGUCCAGUGCUGAGUCUGGCUCUUUCAGUCCUGUGACCCGGAAAAGUGUCCGCUCUGAGCCCCAUUUCUCAUCUGUGAAAUGGAGAUCAUCCCUGUCCCAUAGCCUCGCUGUAAGGAUCCAAUGUGCUGGGCCCAUGAGGACGGUUGUAUAAUUAUUACCUUUCCUUUUUCUUUUCAAAGGGCCCCUCUCAUCCAAUCUCAGGGUCCCUGCUCCAGUCCUGGGCCCCUUUUCUGUCUGGCUUUCCCCUCCUGAGAGCUGACUGCUCACACAGGGAGGGUGAGAGAGAAGUGCCAGGGGGGCAGAGGAGGGAGGGGGGCUAUUGUCAUGGGGCUCUCCUCCAGCAGCUUCCUGGCUCCCCGCAUUUCUCUUUUCCCAAGGAAGCUGUGAAGAGGACCUCUGCUGAGAUCUUGAGCCCGCAGGGACAGGGUGAGCCUUCCUCCCUGUGGAAGAACGCCGGGUGUGCACACUCCCCCCCCCCCCCCCCCCGCACACGAACAUCAUACAUGCUGUUUUGUGGAAUUCUCACAA